AAAAUUUUAAAGGUCGAACAGACCUAAAAUGCUUAGCUCCUACACCAAGCCUUAAUUUUAAUCCAACAUCGAGGUCGCAAACCCUCCUUUCGAUUAGAACUCUUAAAGAAGAUUACG
rnacentral:rRNA from 1 species